CCCAUCCCUGGCAGUGUCCGAGGCCAGGUUGGAUGGGACUCUGAGCAUCCCGCUCGAGUGGAAGGUGUCCCUGGCCAUGGCAGGGGCUUUGGAGCUGGGCGAUUGUUGAGGUCCCUUCCAGCCCAAAGCUGUUUUAUGAUGCUGCGUGUGAAAAAGAAAAGAGGAUUUAUUGCUCCAUUGUCAGAAGAAACUAACUUCUUCCCGCCUCGCUCAGCCCUGAAGACACCAUUAGGAUUCAGAGGAAGAAGUUGAUGCUGACCAGACAGAAUCCUUUGUUUGAAUGGAAUUUAUGCAUCAUGUAUGAGGUGUAUGAAUAUGCAACAGGCUAUUGUUUUUAAGGGUUAAUCCUCUGUUACCGUGUAUCCUUUUUUGGGCUUAUUUUGCCCAGGAAAGGCACCCGGACCGUCCAUACCUCUUUGUUCUUAUUGCCUUGUGUUGUCCUAAUCGCAAGUGUUCAAAUUUUUAUUACUCUAAUUAUAUUGCUAUUUUUAUAACCAUUUUAUUACUAGUAAACUUUUUAAAAUUUUAAA